CGUGACCGUUUAGAGGAGUUCAACGGUAUUUUGUCUUUUAUGUGAUACUGUUGUGAGUGUGGUGUUCAAGAUUGAACACAGGACCUCAUGCACAGCAGGUACCCUCUGUACCCUCGUUGACUGUCCUACAAGAUGAGACAUUACAGCAUCUCUAAUUUCCAAGUAUCCCCAUCUUGGUUCAAAGAAGAAACUGAGCAUCAAUGGAGUUGCUCCAGUUGUGGCAAGAUAGCCAGCCACUAUGGCCUUAAUUCAUCUACACACAAAAAUACUGCCCAGGAAAAGGACGGAAUAUGGGGAACAGUCGACCAAUAGCUCUGCCAAUACAGGAAUAAAGUUCAUUUACCCACUAUGGCUUCCAGUUCCACUGUAAUCUGGCAUUGGUCUUUUUUCUGCUUUUCACCUGAGAUUCUCUGGAUGAUAACCUGAAGCUCUUUGCUUGACAUAGUCCUUAUUUGGCUCAGUAUUGCCUGAGGCAAAGCAAUAAGGGAGAGCGAUAUCAACAUACUCACCAUCACCUGCAAAGCUGAAGUAUCCUGCUUCCUUUAACGGGCCUCACCUUGUAAAUCUUCCAUCAAUACCACCAGCAGCUGCAGACAAGUCUAAAGCAAAGGAAUAUUUAGGAAAUUUUCAGAACAA
rnacentral:sRNA from 1 species